UACGUAGGGGGCGAGCGUUUGUCCGGAUUUAUUGGGCGUAAAGAGCUCGUAGGCGGUUUGGUAAGUCGGGUGUGAAAUCUCCACGCUCAACGUGGAGGGGCCACUCGAUACUGCCAUGACUCGAGUCCGGUAGAGGAGUGUGGAAUUCCCGGUGUAGCGGCGAAAUGCGCAGAUAUCGGGAGGAACACCCGUAGCGAAGGCGGCACUCUGGGCCGGAACUGACGCUGAGGAGCGAAAGCGUGGGGAGCAAACAGG
rnacentral:rRNA from 1 species